GAUGAACGCUGGCGGCGUGCCUAAUACAUGCAAGUCGAGCGAACGGACGAGAAGCUUGCUUUUCUGAUGUUAGCGGCGGACGGGUGAGUAACACGUGGAUAACCUACCUAUAAGACUGGGAUAACUUCGGGAAACCGGAGCUAAUACCGGAUAAUAUUUUGAACCGCAUGGUUCAAAAGUGAAAGACGGUCUUGCUGUCACUUAUAGAAGGAUCCGCGCUGCAUUAGCUAGUUGGUAAGGUAACGGCUUACCAAGGCAACGAUGCAUAGCCGACCUGAGAGGGUGAUCGGCCACACUGGAACUGAGACACGGUCCAGACUCCUACGGGAGGCAGCAGUAGGGAAUCUUCCGCAAUGGGCGAAAGCCUGACGGAGCAACGCCGCGUGAGUGAUGAAGGUCUUCGGAUCGUAAAACUCUGUUAUUAGGGAAGAACAUAUGUGUAAGUAACUGUGCACAUCUUGACGGUACCUAAUCAGAAAGCCACGGCUAACUACGUGCCAGCAGCCGCGGUAAUACGUAGGUGGCAAGCGUUAUCCGGAAUUAUUGGGCGUAAAGCGCGCGUAGGCGGUUUUUUAAGUCUGAUGUGAAAGCCCACGGCUCAACCGUGGAGGGUCAUUGGAAACUGGAAAACUUGAGUGCAGAAGAGGAAAGUGGAAUUCCAUGUGUAGCGGUGAAAUGCGCAGAGAUGUGGAGGAACACCAGUGGCGAAGGCGACUUUCUGGUCUGUAACUGACGCUGAUGUGCGAAAGCGUGGGGAUCAAACAGGAUUAGAUACCCUGGUAGUCCACGCCGUAAACGAUGAGUGCUAAGUGUUAGGGGGUUUCCGCCCCUUAGUGCUGCAGCUAACGCAUUAAGCACUCCGCCUGGGGAGUACGACCGCAAGGUUGAAACUCAAAGGAAUUGACGGGGGCCCGCACAAGCGGUGGAGCAUGUGGUUUAAUUCGAAGCAACGCGAAGAACCUUACCAAAUCUUGACAUCCUUUGACAACUCUAGAGAUAGAGCCUUCCCCUUCGGGGGACAAAGUGACAGGUGGUGCAUGGUUGUCGUCAGCUCGUGUCGUGAGAUGUUGGGUUAAGUCCCGCAACGAGCGCAACCCUUAAGCUUAGUUGCCAUCAUUAAGUUGGGCACUCUAAGUUGACUGCCGGUGACAAACCGGAGGAAGGUGGGGAUGACGUCAAAUCAUCAUGCCCCUUAUGAUUUGGGCUACACACGUGCUACAAUGGACAAUACAAAGGGCAGCGAAACCGCGAGGUCAAGCAAAUCCCAUAAAGUUGUUCUCAGUUCGGAUUGUAGUCUGCAACUCGACUACAUGAAGCUGGAAUCGCUAGUAAUCGUAGAUCAGCAUGCUACGGUGAAUACGUUCCCGGGUCU
rnacentral:rRNA from 1 species